AGAGUUUGAUCAUGGCUCAGAUUGAACGCUGGCGGCAGGCUUAACACAUGCAAGUCGAACGGUAACAGGAAGGAAGCUUGCUUUCUUUGCUGACGAGUGGCGGACGGGUGAGUAAUGCUUGGGAAUCUGGCUCAUGGAGGGGGAUAACUACGGGAAACUGUAGCUAAUACCGCGUAAUAUCUUCGGAUUAAAGGGUGGGACCGUAAGGCCACCUGCCAUAAGAUGAGCCCAAGUGGGAUUAGGUAGUUGGUGGGGUAAAGGCCUACCAAGCCGACGAUCUCUAGCUGGUCUGAGAGGAUGACCAGCCACACUGGAACUGAGACACGGUCCAGACUCCUACGGGAGGCAGCAGUGGGGAAUAUUGCACAAUGGGGGGAACCCUGAUGCAGCCAUGCCGCGUGAAUGAAGAAGGCCUUCGGGUUGUAAAGUUCUUUCGGUGAUGAGGAAGGCGGUUGUUUUAAUAGAACAAUCGAUUGACGUUAGUCACAGAAGAAGCACCGGCUAACUCCGUGCCAGCAGCCGCGGUAAUACGGAGGGUGCGAGCGUUAAUCGGAAUGACUGGGCGUAAAGGGCACGCAGGCGGUGACUUAAGUGAGAUGUGAAAGCCCCGGGCUUAACCUGGGAAUUGCAUUUCAUACUGGGUCGCUAGAGUAUUUUAGGGAGGGGUAGAAUUCCACGUGUAGCGGUGAAAUGCGUAGAGAUGUGGAGGAAUACCGAAGGCGAAGGCAGCCCCUUGGGAAUAUACUGACGCUCAUGUGCGAAAGCGUGGGGAGCAAACAGGAUUAGAUACCCU
rnacentral:rRNA from 1 species